rnacentral:rRNA from 1 species
AGCGAACGCUGGCGGCGUGCUUAACACAUGCAAGUCGAACGGGCCAUAUUCGUAUGGUCAGUGGCAGACGGGUGCGUAACACGUGGGUGACCUGCCCUUGAGUGGGGAACAACUCCGCUAACGCGGAGCUAAUACCGCAUACGUUCGCUUCUUCGGUGGGGCGAGUAAAGCAGCAAUGCGCUUAGGGAUGGGCCUGCGGCGGAUUAGGUAGUUGGUGGGGUAAGGGCCUACCAAGCCGAUGAUCCGUAGGGGGCGUGAGAGCGUGGCCCCCACAUUGGCACUGAGACACGGGCCAAACUCCUACGGGUGGCAG